GAGGAACAAUGCUGCACAUCAUUUGUGGAAACGGAAGAGUUAGAGGCAGAACAGGAGGAACAAUCAUGAACAUCAUUACUUGAAAUGGAAGAGUUAGAGGCAGAACAGUCAUUUCACCCAAGGAGGCAUGCAUAUGGAUUUAGGCUGUGAAAAAGAACCCCAAACAAAAUGGCGGCUGGUGAAUUAGAUAAAGUUUCUGAGUGUAGGAUCUGAACGGAGAAUAGGAAUACUGCAUCCCAUCUGACCCUGCAGGAAGAAAGACCUCUGGCAAAGACAAGAACAAAGGAAGGAGAACAUUUCUGGAAAUUUAUGAAAUCUUCAGUGUGUUUGGACACAGGAGCUAUGAUAUCCAUCCAUUCUGGUUGCCUCGGGAUCGAUUCUUGUGAAUAUAGAAAAUUGGAAAUUCAAAUGUUGGUUAUUUUACACUUUAAAAGUGCUUACUGCUUAGUCCAAUAUCUUGAUAAAUCUAGUCUUUUGUGAUUUUUCAGGCAAAUUAAAUCUCCAACACAUGUAUACAUUUUUGAUAAAUUACCUCAAGGACCCUAUAUUUUUUCAAAAGCAAUAUAUAUCUGAAGAAAAUAAAACCAUUUUUGUUGGGUCACACAAUGAAUAGAAAUGACAGAUGUAGUGCUUAUAUCAUGGAAUUUCUGUAAACAGAUGAUAUUUUUUACACAGGUUUUAGCUCACCUGAGCCAAAAGCUCAAGUAAGCUUUUCUGAUCAAAAUUUGUCCGUUGUCUGUCGUCGUCGUAAACUUUUCACGUUUUUGACUUCUUCUCAAGAACCGCUGGCCAAUUUCAACCAAAUUUGUCACAAAGCAUCCUUGGGUGAAGGACUUUCAAGUUUGUUCAAAUUAAGGGCCAUGUCCCGUUCAAAGGGAAGA